rnacentral:rRNA from 1 species
UAAGUUAGCCACCUGGGGAGUACGUUCGCAAGAAUGAAACUCAAAGGAAUUGACGGGGGCCCGCACAAGCGGUGGAUUAUGUGGUUUAAUUCGAUGAUACGCGAGGAACCUUACCAAGGCUUAAAUGGGAAUUGACAGGUUUAGAAAUAGACUUUUCUUCGGACAAUUUUCAAGGUGCUGCAUGGUUGUCGUCAGCUCGUGCCGUGAGGUGUUAGGUUAAGUCCUGCAACGAGCGCAACCCCUGUCACUAGUUGCCAUCAUUCAGUUGGGGACUCUAGUGAGACUGCCUACGCAAGUAGAGAGGAAGGUGGGGAUGACGUCAAAUCAUCACGGCCCUUACGCCUUGGGCCACACACGUAAUACAAUGGCCGGUACAGAGGGCAGCUACCUAGCGAUAGGAUGCGAAUCUCGAAAGCCGGUCUCAGUUCGGAUUGGAGUCUGCAACUCGACUCUAUGAAGCUGGAAUCGCUAGUAAUCGCGCAUCAGCCAUGGCGCGGUGAAUACGUUCCCGGGCCUUGUACACACCGCCCGUCAAGCCAUGGAAGUUUGGGGUACCUGAAGUCGGUGACCGUAAUAGGAGCUGCCUAG